UACGUAGGGGGCAAGCGUUGUCCGGAUUUAUUGGGUUUAAAGGGUGCGUAGGCGGCCUGUUAAGUCAGGGGUGAAAGACGGUAGCUUAACUAUCGCAGUGCCUUUGAUACUGACGGGCUUGAAUGCAGCUGAGGUAGGCGGAAUGUGACAAGUAGCGGUGAAAUGCAUAGAUAUGUCACAGAACACCGAUUGCGAAGGCAGCUUACUAAAGUGUGAUUGACGCUGAUGCACGAAAGCGUGGGGAUCAAACAGG
rnacentral:rRNA from 1 species